rnacentral:rRNA from 1 species
UACGAAGGGGGCUAGCGUUGCUCGGAAUCACUGGGCGUAAAGGGCGCGUAGGCGGCCUGAUCAGUCGGGGGUGAAAGCCUGUGGCUCAACCACAGAAUGGCCUUCGAUACUGUCGGGCUUGAGACCGGAAGAGGUAAGUGGAACUGCGAGUGUAGAGGUGAAAUUCGUAGAUAUCAGGAGGAACACCGGUGGUGUAGACGGCUUACUGGACCACGACUGACACUGAGGCACGAAAGCGUGGGUAGCAAACAGG